rnacentral:lncRNA from 1 species
CCUGGGGGGCAUGUCGAAAGCCCCGGGCCCGGCUGACGGCGGAUCCAGGGGGGACGUGGCUGCGCUGCCCUCCGCCCGCCGGGCCCCCGGUCGGUCUGUCCUGCUGGUCCGUCCUCCCCGCGUCCUGGUCGCGUCUCAGCCCCGCCGCGCUUUCCGCACACUCUUAUCUGGAGCGGCCCGGGCCGGCGGGCGCUGCUGCGGCUAUGGCGCCACCUCGCGGGCGCGCAGGGCUCUGCGCGGCAGGCCGCUGCCUUCCUCCCGCGCACCUGAGCUGGAGGCGCACAGAUGCUGAGCCCGCGGGGAGGGGCCCACCCUACCCGCAGGUUCGCCCUCCCACCUGUACCCACACAGCCCGCCCUGAACUUUCGGGUCUCCUAAAGGAACCCACGACGAGUCAUCAGGGCGACUGGAAGUGGCUGGACAGCGCCUCCGGGGGGUCCAAAGAAGUAACCAUGGGGCCCUAGAAUCCCCCUGUACGCCGUUUUGAAGAAUCCCGCGUGGACUUCUUCUCCAACCCACCCGCCCGAAGGAAACAACAGGGGCGCCUGCGGCUGGGACCCCGCAAGGUCCCGCGCCCCACGUGAAGGUCAGGUU